rnacentral:rRNA from 1 species
ACUUACGGCCAUACCAACCUGCCUAUACCCGAUCUCGUCUGAUCUCGGAAGCUAAGCAGGUUUGGGCCUGGUUAGUACUUGGAUGGGAGACCGCCUGGGAAUUCAAGAUUCAAGAUUU